AGAUGAACAGUGGGUUUAUAGGAAGGACUCGUAUUCGUGUGUCAUUUGCUAGGAAGCAACCAUCUGUAACCGAUGCACCAGAAGAGACGAGUACUGAAUCUGCAUGGCACAUGGUAGGAUCGUCUCCUGUGAAGUUGCAACAGCAAACUCUGGCAAAGUUGUACGAAAACAGAUCGUGUAUGAUGACGACUUUUUUUAUGACUGGAAACGAUAGUACAGACUGAUUUGCCGAUGCUGUGUGAUGACAAGUCAAUGACACACGUGAAAACUAUUACUGUGUGUGGAUUCUUUGCUUGUGGAAAGCAUUGAUACAGCGACGUAAGGCAAUUGAAAUUGAGCGAGAACAAAGAAGAAUGAUGAGGGUUAGAUGUUCCAACUACACUCAUAGCGCACGUGAAGGUAACGCCUGCUAUUUUCUGUUCGAGAUCCGAUGCGGAUUGAACCCACUUUCCAGUGUGGAUUCAGUUUGCAAGUGUGGACAGGCCUUUAUGAUUGUAGCAGCUGGCACUUUCACAUUUGGAGACCGAAUGAUGCCACUGCUUGAGAUUGUUACU